rnacentral:rRNA from 1 species
AUGCUUUGGAAGAAGCUUGUACAGUUUGGGAAGGGGUUUUUUGAGAGAAAAGAAGAAUCUACUUCAACUGAUAUGCCCUUAGGCAUGGCCAUGCAUAACAUAGAAAUCACACGUGGAAGGGGUGGGCAAUUAGCUAGAGCAGCAGGUGCUGUAGCGAAACUCAUUGCAGAAGAGGGUAAAUCGGCCACUUUAAGAUUACCAUCUGGGGAGGUUCGUUUAGUAUCCCAAAACUGCUUAGCAACAGUCGGACAAGUGGGUAAUGUUGGGGUGAACCAAAAAAGUUUGGGUAGAGCCGGAUCUAAGUGUUGUCUAGGUAAACGCCCCAUAGUAAGAGGGGUAGUUAUGAACCCUGUGGACCACCCCCAUGGGGGCGGUGAAGGGAAAGCUCCCAUUGGUAGAAAAAAACCCACAACCCCUUGGGGUUAUCCUACGCUUGGAAGAAGAACUAGGAAAAGGAAAAAAUAUAGCGAUAGUUUUAUUCUUCGUCGCCGUAAGUAA